UUCCCAGCUGAACAACAGCAAGUAAGGACGUGACCGUGUCAAGUACCGACCUAACAACAUGCUAAUCCUUACGGAAUUCUGAAAUUAUGUCCAACUCACCGAACCUUUCUCGCCUGGUUCCCCUUCAUCGCCCUGCAGGAAAGAGGAAACUUCAAACGUUACGGUCUUGACUCACAGAUUCUCUAUCAGCAAGUCAGUCAUUCAAUUCUCUAAAUGAGAUUCAGCCACAAAUAACUCUUUUGAAUUACGUACUACGUCCCCUUUUUCUCCUGGAGCGCCCUCUUCACCAGGUGCUCCCUAAAGACAAGCACAGAGCAUUUUCAGAUGAAGAUGCUACAGAUAAACAGAUAAAUGAUGCAUCUUGACGCUACGUUCUAGAAAGACGGAUAAUACAGGCCUACCUGCUCGCCUUUUGGACCAGUGAGACCGACUGCACCCUGAUACCGAUCAGAAAAAGCAGAGAAUCUUCUCGGACGGGGGAUUUUUUUGCGCUUUCCAGCUUCUCAGUAACACGACGAGCCGCGUUAUAUAUUUUAUAUAUAUUUUUUUGUCUUAUUGACUUUCAGAGAGCCAAUUAACUACUGUACAUCACAAUCUACAAUAUCGUGAGUGAGAACAGGAACUAAUUUGUUUCACAAUGGAAUGUUCCACAACAUUAACUAAACUGUUUUUUUUUUUUUAAAUUGUGUUAUUUAUGAAUAAAUUAAACAUUGUAAUCAUUGGCUGUGGUCUAAGAGAAACACACACACCUCAGGACUGCUGUUAUAGGAAAACAAUCCACUGUGAGGUGGUAAAUCACACCAGCUCGACAUGGAUCCUUUACCUAUAACAACAUACCCUGCAGUGUUCUAUUCAUAUAUAUAUAUAUAUAUAUA